CACAAUCUGCAGUCCCUGGGUCUGUGCAGUGACCAGCCAGUCCCCUGAGAACUUUCCCCUCCAGCACCCGGGAAAAUGGGGUUUUUGCUCCUUGUGAUUUUUGCUGUAGCAGCUUUGGAAGGUGUCCGGUCCCAGGCGCUGGUGGAGUCCGGAGGGGAUGUGAAAAAGCCCGGAGACUCUCUCCGCCUCUCCUGCAAAGCCUCCGGGUUCACCUUCAGCAGCUCCGCUAUGAGCUGGGUCCGACAGGCUCCUGGGAAGGGACUAGAAUGGGUCGCUACUAUAUACACCGGUGGGAGUAGUACAUACUACCUUGAUUCAGUGAAAGGCCGAUUCACCAUCUCCAGGGAUAAUCCCAAGAGUGAGCUGUACCUGCAAAUGACCGGCCUGAAGCCCGAGGACACCGCCCGCUAUUACUGUGCAAGACACAGUGAAACGAAACCGGUUUGUGAUCAUACAAAAACCCAGGCUGCGGAAUCGCGCUUCUCCCGGCAGCCACGCGGGGGCAGCAGUGACACACACACUGCUCCGGGCUCAGACAGGAGACCGGGCAACCGGGUGAAUGUAACACAAACCUCCCCUCAGUUUUAACCCUUC